rnacentral:rRNA from 1 species
UGAGUUUGGCGGUAUUAUAUUCUCACUAGAGGAAUCUGUUCUAUUAAGGAUAAAACACCUAAUUAUUUUCUCUAUUUUUUUUAAUUAGCCUAUCACCGUUGUUAGAUAAUUGUCUUAACAUAUUAUCUUAAUUUUUAAGCACUUCAGGUCAAGAUACUAUUUAUAGUGGAGUUUGAGAUGGAUUACAAUCUACAUACAGAGACGGAAAAUUAUUUAUUGGAAGGUGGAUUUAGCUGUAACAAUAAAGUUAUGCUAUUCUGAACCAGGUCUAUAAUAUGU